GAUGAACGCUGGCGGCGUGCCUAACACAUGCAAGUCGAGCGAGAACCUAUCAAUUGACACUUCGGUUGAUUUUGAUAGCGGAAAGCGGCGGACGGGUGAGUAACGCGUAGGCAACCUGCCCAUAACAGAGGGAUAGCCUCGGGAAACCGGGAUUAAAACCUUAUGACACCGUAGCAUCACCUGAUGUAUCGGUCAAAGAUUUAUCGGUUAUGGAUGGGCCUGCGUCUGAUUAGUUAGUUGGUGAGGUAACGGCUCACCAAGGCAGUGAUCAGUAACCGACCUGAGAGGGUAAUCGGUCACAUUGGAACUGAGACACGGUCCAGACUCCUACGGGAGGCAGCAGUGGGGAAUAUUGCACAAUGGGCGCAAGCCUGAUGCAGCAACGCCGCGUGAACGAUGAAGGUUCUAUGAAUCGUAAAGUUCUGUUCUUGGGGAAGAAACAAAUGACGGUACCCAAGGAGCAAGCCCCGGCUAACUACGUGCCAGCCGCCGCUGUAAAAC
rnacentral:rRNA from 1 species